UAAAAGUCCAAAUAAAAACAACUGGUGUAAACUACACACCCUUACAGCAAGAAUGCUACUAUAUAAUCUUCAACAAUGCGCCCUCAUCCUGGAGAAAAGAGCAGUUUCACACUACAAACUGAGCCUCCACAGAUGCCGGCAAGUCGUUUCCGGCAUUCUCUUGUUCUUUCUGUGGCUGACUUGAUGGAGCUGAGCUGAUCACUACAAUGCUCUAUGAAGUGGACGGAUGGAGGUGGAAGCAGAAAAAAAAGUGCCUAAGGGCAGAAACCAGAAUGACCCUCCCCCCUACACACACACACACACACACACACACACACAUACACACAAUCUGAAAAUGACAGGAAGUACUGAUAAGAUAUAAGAUUUACCAUUAUGUGUGGUACUCACUAUGCAUUAACCUAUGAGAAUAUUGUUACUGUAAGUUUCAUUCAGGCAUGCACAAAUAACUGCACCAUUACCUACACUGUUAAGAAUUUCCCAGUAAAAUAACAGUGAAGAACUGGCAGCAGGGUUGCCUUUAUGUUACUGUAAAAUUAACAUUAUUAAAGUGUCGCUGAAAUUUAAA